AUUGAACGCUGGCGGCAUGCCUUACACAUGCAAGUCGAACGGUAACGCGGGGCAACCUGGCGACGAGUGGCGAACGGGUGAGUAAUGCAUCGGAACGUGCCCGGUAGUGGGGGAUAACUGCCCGAAAGAGCAGCUAAUACCGCAUACGACCUGAGGGUGAAAGGGGGGGAUCGCAAGACCUCUCGCUAUCGGAGCGGCGGAUGUCGGAUUAGCUAGUUGGUGGGGUAAAGGCCUACCAAGGCGACGAUCCGUAGCUGGUCUGAGAGGACGACCAGCCACACUGGGACUGAGACACGGCCCAGACUCCUACGGGAGGCAGCAGUGGGGAAUUUUGGACAAUGGACGCAAGUCUGAUCCAGCCAUGCCGCGUGCGGGAAGAAGGCCUUCGGGUUGUAAACCGCUUUUGUCAGGGAAGAAAUCUUCUGAGUUAAUACCUCGGGAGGAUGACGGUACCUGAAGAAUAAGCACCGGCUAACUACGUGCCAGCAGCCGCCGUAACAC
rnacentral:rRNA from 1 species